CACGUGAGCAACCUGCCUUUAAGAGGGGGAUAACGUUUGGAAACGAACGCUAAUACCGCAUAACAUAGAAGAUUCGCAUGUUUCUUCUAUCAAAGAUUUAUCGCUUAAAGAUGGGCUCGCGUCUGAUUAGCUGGUUGGUGAGGUAACGGCUCACCAAGGCGACGAUCAGUAGCCGUACUGAGAGGUAGAACGGCCACAUUGGGACUGAGACACGGCCCAGACUCCUACGGGAGGCAGCAGUGGGGAAUAUUGCACAAUGGAGGGAACUCUGAUGCAGCGAUGCCGCGUGAGGGAAGAAGGUUUUAGGAUUGUAAACCUCUGUCUUCAGGGACGAUAAUGACGGUACCUGAGGAGGAAGCUCCGGCUAACUACGUGCCAGCAGCCGCGGUAAUACGUAGGGAGCGAGCGUUGUCCGGAAUUACUGGGUGUAAAGGGAGCGUAGGCGGGAUCUUAAGUCAGGUGUGAAAACUAUGGGCUCAACCCAUAGACUGCACUUGAAACUGAGGUUCUUGAGUGAAGUAGAGGCAGGCGGAAUUCCUAGUGUAGCGGUGAAAUGCGUAGAUAUUAGGAGGAACAUCAGUGGCGAAGGCGGCCUGCUGGGCUUUUACUGACGCUGAGGCUCGAAAGCGUGGGGAGCAA
rnacentral:rRNA from 1 species